AUUGAACGCUGGCGGCAGGCCUAACACAUGCAAGUCGAGCGGAUGAAGGGAGCUUGCUCCUGGAUUCAGCGGCGGACGGGUGAGUAAUGCCUAGGAAUCUGCCUGGUAUUGGGGGAUAACGUCCGGAAACGGGCGCUAAUACCGCAUACGUCCUGAUGGAGAAAGUGGGGGAUCUUCGGACCUCACGCUAUCUGAUGAGCCUAGGUCGGAUUAGCUAGUUGGUGGGGUAAAGGCCUACCAAGGCGACGAUCCGUAACUGGUCUGAGAGGAUGAUCUGUCACACUGGAACUGAGACACGGUCCAGACUCCUACGGGAGGCAGCAGUGGGGAAUAUUGGACAAUGGGCGAAAGCCUGAUCCAGCCAUGCCGCGUGUGUGAAGAAGGUCUUCGGAUUGUAAAGCACUUUAAGUUGGGAGGAAGGGCAGUAAGUUAAUACCUUGCUGUUUUGACGUUACCAACAGAAUAAGCACCGGCUAACUUCGUG
rnacentral:rRNA from 1 species